ACACUAUUGGGCAUAAAGUGCAUGAAAGGACACCCCAGUUCAAACAAGUCAUGAAAUAAACAAUACCCUUCGUCAAGAAUGGUUGCUGCUAGCUUAGCAACAAAUUAGUCGACUUAUGGCAGGAAUCAGAAGACGUUAAGAUGGGGUUAUCCGUUUGAAAGGAGGUUGCGCACAAAGUACUAAUUCUUUGGCGUAUAACGAUCAACAAUGAUGUGAACAAUCAUCUAAAGAUUAAUUUUGAAAUGUCUGACAUUGUAAAGUUCGACUACAGUAAAAGUUGAAAAAUG
rnacentral:lncRNA from 1 species